GGAGAGAUGGCUGAGUGGCCGAAAGCAACGGUUUGCUAAACCGUCGUACUGGUAUAAGCCGGUACCGAGGGUUCGAAUCCCUCUCUCUCCGCCA
rnacentral:tRNA from 1 species